rnacentral:misc_RNA from 1 species
UUUUUUUUUUUUUUUUCCUUUUUUGCAUCCUUAAGAGAGGCACUCAUCCUUCUCAAGUUCAAUUUCUUUUCCCUAAAAGUUAGUAAAAUGAAUGUAUUCCAAUCUGAUUAUCCUUUCUAAAUGAAUACAGAUAUACAUAAUUUCUAGAAUAAAACUUUAUUCUGGUAAGGUGCAUGGUGUUUCUGAAAAAGAAAACCCACACAGUGAAGAAAUGAAGAAGCACAAAUUACUUUCAUCUUUAAGUGUGGAAGAUUUGGCCAACCACUACAUAAUUUCCACACAAACAACCAUGUACAUUACAGAUUGAGGCAGGAUAUUUGUACGAAGACUGUAUAAGCAAGUGCAGAUGUAAACAAAUGCAUAUAAUAAUAACAAUGAUAUGUACACGCUACCUGCUAAGCCUAGAGUAGUUAGA